rnacentral:rRNA from 1 species
GAUGAACGCUGGCGGCGUGCCUAAUACAUGCAAGUCGAGCGAACAGAUGAGGAGCUUGCUCCUCUGACGUUAGCGGCGGACGGGUGAGUAACACGUGGAUAACCCACCUAUAAGACUGGGAUAACUUCGGGAAACCGGAGCUAAUACCGGAUAAUAUAUUGAACCGCAUGGUUCAAUAGUGAAAGACGGUUUUGCUGUCACUUAUAGAUGGAUCCGCGCCGCAUUAGCUAGUUGGUAAGGUAACGGCUUACCAAGGCAACGAUGCGUAGCCGACCUGAGAGGGUGAUCGGCCACACUGGAACUGAGACACGGUCCAGACUCCUACGGGAGGCAGCAGUAGGGAAUCUUCCGCAAUGGGCGAAAGCCUGACGGAGCAACGCCGCGUGAGUGAUGAAGGUCUUGGGAUCGUAAAACUCUGUUAUUAGGGAAGAACAAAUGUGGAAGUAACUAUGCACGUCUUGACGGUACCUAAUCAGAAAGCCACGGCUAACUACGUG